rnacentral:rRNA from 1 species
AUUGAACGCUGGCGGCGUGCCUAACACAUGCAAGUCGAACGAGAAAGCUCUUCGGAGUGAGUAAAGUGGCGAACGGGUGAGUAACACGUAAGAAUCUACCCUUUAGUGGAGAAUACCUUCGAGAAAUCGAAGUUAAUACUGCAUAAGCCCUGCGGGGGAAAAACGGCCUCUUUGCCGUUGCUGAAGGAUGAGCUUGCGGACUAUUAGCUAGUUGGUGGGGUAAAGGCCUACCAAGGCGAUGAUGGUUAGCCGGCCUGAGAGGGUGUACGGCCACAUUGGGACUGAGACACGGCCCAGACUCCUACGGGAGGCAGCAGUGGGGAAUAUUGCACAAUGGGCGAAAGCCUGAUGCAGCGACGCCGCGUGGAGGAUGAAGGUCUUCGGAUUGUAGACUCCUGUUAAGAGGGAAGAAAAGCUUGCGAGUAAUAUGCGCAAGUGUUGACGGUACCUCUAGAGAAAGCCCCGGCUAACUUCGUGCCAGCAGCCGCGGUAACAC